AGAGUUUGAUCCUGGCUCAGAAUUAACGCUGGCGGCAUGCCUAACACAUGCAAGUCGAGCGAGAAACCCCCCUUCGGGGGGGGAGUACAGCGGCGCACGGGUGAGUAACGCGUGGGUAAUCUACCUCCGUCUGGGGGAUAACACACCGAAAGGUGUGCUAAUACCGCAUAAUCCGGCGAACCUUCGGGUGAGUCGGCAAAGGUGGCCUCUUCUUGAAAGCUGCCGGGUGGAGAUGAGCCCGCGUCCCAUUAGCUAGUUGGUAGGGUAAUGGCCUACCAAGGCGACGAUGGGUAGCCGGCCUGAGAGGGUGGUCGGCCACACUGGGACUGAGAUACGGCCCAGACUCCUACGGGAGGCAGCAGUCGAGAGGCUUCGGCAAUGGGGGAAACCCUGACCGAGCGACGUCGCGUGGGUGAUGAAGAUCUUCGGAUCGUAAAACCCUGUCAGGUGGGAUGAAAUGUCACAUGGUGAACAACCACGUGGCUUGACAGUACCAUCAGAGGAAGCUCCGGCCAACUCCGUGCCAGCAGCCGCGGUAACACGGGGGGAGCGAGCGUUGUUCGGAAUCAUUGGGCGUAAAGAGCUCGUAGGUGGCUCCGUAAGUCGAUGGUGAAAGGCCAUGGCUCAACCAUGGGUAUGCCUUUGAAACUGCGGAACUUGAGAUCGGGAGAGGAAAGUGGAAUUCCUGGAGUAGCGGUGAAAUGCGUAGAGAUGCGGAGGAACACCGAUGGCGAAGGCAGCCCCCUGGGCCGACACUGACGCUCAGGC
rnacentral:rRNA from 1 species